CUGUAGUAGUUCAACAUGAAGAAAAUAUGGCCAAAAUUUGGGGUGCAGCUUAUACACGAGUGUGGCUUAUACACGUGUGAAUAUGAUGCCGAAGUAAACAAGUCCAGGCGAGCUUCAAAUGAAAAGGUUAAAAGUUCAUCCUCUGUUGCCACUCAGUCUGUGAAACGCCC